AGUCGACGGCAGCACGGGAGCUUGCUCCUGGUGGCGAGUGGCGAACGGGUGAGUAAUAUAUCGGAACGUGCCCUAGAGUGGGGGAUAACUAGUCGAAAGAUUAGCUAAUACCGCAUACGAUCUACGGAUGAAAGUGGGGGAUCGCAAGACCUCAUGCUCAUGGAGCGGCCGAUAUCUGAUUAGCUAGUUGGUGGGGUAAAAGCUCACCAAGGCGACGAUCAGUAGCUGGUCUGAGAGGACGACCAGCCACACUGGAACUGAGACACGGUCCAGACUCCUACGGGAGGCAGCAGUGGGGAAUUUUGGACAAUGGGCGCAAGCCUGAUCCAGCAAUGCCGCGUGAGUGAAGAAGGCCUUCGGGUUGUAAAGCUCUUUUGUCAGGGAAGAAACGGUCUUGGUUAAUACCUGGGGCUAAUGACGGUACCUGAAGAAUAAGCACCGGCUAACUACGUGCCAGCAGCCGCGGUAAUACGUAGGGUGCAAGCGUUAAUCGGAAUUACUGGGCGUAAAGCGUGCGCAGGCGGUUAUACAAGACAGAUGUGAAAUCCCCGGGCUCAACCUGGGAAUUGCAUUUGUGACUGUAUGGCUAGAGUGUGUCAGAGGGGGGUAGAAUUCCACGUGUAGCAGUGAAAUGCGUAGAUAUGUGGAGGAAUACCGAUGGCGAAGGCAGCCCCCUGGGAUAACACUGACGCUCAUGCACGAAAGCGUGGGGAGCAAACAGGAUUAGAUACCNUGGUAGUCCACGCCCUAAAACGAUGUCUACUAG
rnacentral:rRNA from 1 species